rnacentral:rRNA from 1 species
CAGAGGGGGCAAGCGUUAUUCGGAAUUAUUGGGCGUAAAGGGCGCGUAGGCGGCUUUGCAAGUGGCGGGUGAAAUCCCUCGGCUUAACCGAGGAACUGCCUGCCAGACUGUGAGGCUUGAGACCGGGAGAGGUGAGUGGAAUUCCCAGUGUAGCGGUGAAAUGCGUAGAUAUUGGGAGGAACACCAGUGGCGAAGGCGGCUCACUGGACCGGAACUGACGCUGAGGCGCGAAAGCGUGGGGAGCAAACAGGAUUAGAUACCCUGGUAGUCCACGCCGUAAACGAUGAGUGCUUGGUGUAGCGGGUAUCGACCCCUGCUGUGCCGACGUCAACACAUUAAGCACUCCGCCUGGGGAGUACGGUCGCAAGACUG